UGAGCAAUCUGCCCUUCUCUUCGGAAUAAGCGUUGGAAACGACGUCUAAUGCCGAAUACGACCUCCUUUCGCAUGAUCGGAGGUGGAAAGCUCCGGCGGAGAAGGAUGAGCUCGCGGCCUAUCAGCUAGUUGGUGUGGGUAAUGGCCCACCAAGGCGACGACGGGUAGCCGGCCUGAGAGGGUGACCGGCCACACUGGGACUGAGACACGGCCCAGACUCCUAGUGGGAGCAG
rnacentral:rRNA from 1 species